rnacentral:lncRNA from 1 species
UUUAUGUUUAUGAUAAAUAACAAUGAACAUUUAUUUAUAGAUGUCUCUACAGCAACCCCCCACAUUAAUCUCAUUUUAAGACAACAAAAAACAAUAAAAUGAAGCAUUAUGUUAGUAAGAACUAAAAUGUAAUAUUUUUGUGUGCAUUUAAAAAAAUAAUGUCAAACAUUAAACUCCCAUGUCACCAAAUCUCUGUUCUACAGGGAAAAAAUGAACCCACAUUAGCUGACAACCAUGCUUAGGCAUCGCUGCCCACGGCAGGUGGACCAAAGGCCUCUCUAGUGCGCAUUAGCUGGACAUCCUUGUCAGCCAUGCACGUGUCACAACCCCACACUGCGGAUGCUUCAGCUGUCAACAGCCCAUAGGCUGUUUCGGUCAUUCCGGUGCAGAUGCGAUGAAACCACUUCUGACAAGAGGCCUCACACAGAAUGGCAUCCUGAUCGUCGUUUACUUCAUUUGUACAAAUCCCACACGGGUACACAGGGUCAGAAGAUGAAUGGCCGUGCCGGCUGGGGUGCAGGGAGAACUUGCGGCUUUUGUCAGUGGUGCACAGGUCAGCCGUGCCCCUGGGCUGCCGGGGCUUGUUCUGGGUCCCAUUCGCGUGGUUGUUGGUGGGCUCCGCGCUGCCCGAACGGCUGUUCUCUUGAACGACGUUGUUUCUGUUGACAUUUUUUAACUCGACAUUACUCUGAUUGACUGGAUCCUCCAUAUUUAAAUGAGGUGGGUGAGUGGAAGAAUUCUGAUUCGUGGUUUUGGCUGCCCCUUGCGUAAAG